rnacentral:lncRNA from 1 species
GAUAACACACGCCGGAGGGUCGCACGCGGGUUCCAGUUGUGAUUGCUGGAGUUGUGUAUUGCCAGGAGGCUCUCCGAGAUUGGGGUCGGGUCACUGCCUCAUCCACCGGAGCGAUGGCGUUUCUCCGAAGCAUGUGGGGCGUGCUGAGUGCCCUGGGAAGGUCUGGAGCAGAGCUGUGCACCGGCUGUGGAAGUCGACUGCGCUCCCCCUUCAGUUUGUGUAUUUACCGAGGUGGUUUUCAUCUGUCUUGGCAAGUUGUCCAAAGAAACCUGUAAGUUCUUACCUUCGAUUUUCUAAAGAACAACUACCCAUAUUUAAAGCUCAGAACCCAGUGCAAAAACUACAGAACUAAUUAGAAGAAUUGCCCAGCGUUGGAGGGAACUUCCUGAUUCAAAGAAAAAAGUAAGCACAUAAGUUUUCAA